AUGGAGCACUCGUACAGCAACAGUGGCAGUAGCAACUACGGCGGCGCAAAGGAGAAGAGGCCCCCGCUCAAGAGGGGGCAGCUGAAGCGGAAGAUCGUCAGGACUAUUAACAACCUGGUGCUGUCGAGGAACGAUGACAUGGACGCAGAGAAGCAAGCAGCAGGUCGCACCAGCUUCGGCACCUACAGCUGA
rnacentral:rRNA from 1 species